rnacentral:rRNA from 1 species
GAUGAACGCUAGCUACAGGCUUAACACAUGCAAGUCGAGGGGAAACGACAUCGAAAGCUUGCUAAGAUGGACGUCGACCGGCGAAUGGGUGAGUAACGCGUAUCCAACCUUCCGUUAAGUAGGGAAUAGCCCGGCGAAAGUCGAAUUAAUGCCUGAUGUUUUCCACGGACGGCAUCUGAUGUGGAACAAAGAUUGAUCGCUAUGGGAUGGGGAUGCGUCUGAUUAGCUAGACGGCGGGGCAACGGCCCACCGUGGCGACGAUGUCUAGGGGUUCUGAGAGGAAGACCCCCCACACUGGGACUGAGACACGGCCCAGACUCCUACGGGAGGCAGCAGUGAGGAAUAUUGGUCAAUAGGCGCAAGCCUGAACCAGCCAAGUAGCGUGAGGGAAGACUGCCCUACGGGUUGUAAACCUCUUUUGUUUGGGAAUAAAGUGCGGGACGUGUCCCGCAUUGCAUGUACCAUUUGAAUAAGGACCGGCUAAUUCCGUG